UGUUUGUGUUAACCCGCGACGCCAAUGAUGACCAGUCCCUCUCUGUGUCCUCCAUAUGUACCGUCGUCCGCUUUCGCCUCUGUCCUCGGCCCCACGUUGCCUCCCUCGAGCCAUUUGAUCUCCGACGGAGCCGAACACCGGCGAUUGAAGGAUGGUUAGAUUGCCGUACCUCACCGCGCUCACCACCCUCUUCAGCUACGGCCUCCUCUUCGCCUUCGGCCAGCUGAGGGAUUUCUUCAGGAAGCUCAUCGAUUGGUCCAGAUCCAAGUCCAAGGACCUCAAGGGGUAUGCGCCAAUCUGCUUAGGGCUUGAAGAUUUCUACACACGCCGGCUUUAUCUCCGAAUUCAGGACUGUUUUAGCCGACCAAUUGCAAGCGCACCAGAUGCUUGGAUUGAUGUUGUUGAGCGUUAUUCUAAUGACAAUAACAAGACACUACACCGAACAUCAAAUACUACAAAAUGCUUAAAUCUGGGAUCAUACAACUACCUUGGGUUUGCUGCAGCAGAUGAAUACUGCACACCUCGUGUUAUUGACUCUCUGAAGAGAUACUCACCCAGUACCUGCAGUGUUCGUGUUGAUGGUGGGACAACAAACCUACACACUGAGCUUGAGGAGCUAGUUGCAAGGUUUGUGGGAAAACCAGCUGCUAUACUUUUUGGCAUGGGCUAUGUGACAAACUCAGCAAUUAUCCCUGCUCUGAUUGGGAAGGGAGGACUGAUCAUCAGUGAUUCUUUGAACCAUAACUCUAUUGUCAAUGGUGCUCGAGGAUCUGGUGCAGCAGUACGUGUUUUCCAGCACAACAGCCCCUCACAUUUAGAAGAUGUUCUAAGAGAGCAGAUAGCUGAAGGACAGCCUCGGACACAUAGACCCUGGAAAAAGAUAAUUGUUAUUGUGGAGGGCAUCUACAGCAUGGAAGGAGAACUUUGCAAGCUUCCUGAAAUUAUAGCUGUCUGUAAAAAAUACAAGGCUUAUACAUACUUGGAUGAGGCCCACAGCAUUGGUGCUAUUGGAAAAUCAGGCAGGGGGGUUUGUGAGCUCCUAGGAGUGGAUCCAGCUGAUGUGGACAUCAUGAUGGGCACUUUUACAAAAUCAUUUGGGUCUUGUGGAGGCUACAUUGCAGCAUCAAAGGAAAUCAUUCAAUAUCUUAAGUACACUUGCCCUGCACAUCUGUAUGCCACUUCCAUGUCACCACCUGCUGUGCAGCAAGUAAUCUCUGCAAUUAAGGUUAUCCUUGGGGAAGAUGGGUCAAAUAGAGGUGCCCAGAAACUUGCACGCAUUCGUGAAAACAGCAACUUCUUCAGGUCAGAACUUCAGAAAAUGGGAUUUGAGGUUCUGGGUGAUAAUGAUUCUCCGGUUAUGCCAAUAAUGCUCUACAAUCCAGCAAAGAUCCCAGCCUUCUCCAGGGAAUGCCUCAGACAAAAUGUUGCAGUAGUGACUGUUGCAUUCCCAGCAACACCUCUUCUUCUUGCGAGGGCUCGGAUAUGCAUUUCUGCUUCACACUCCAAAGAAGACCUGAUGAAAGGUCUGGAGGUUAUCAGCAAAGUUGGUGACCUUGUGGGCAUCAAAUACUUCCCUGCAGAACCACCUAAGCAUGCCGAACAGGAAAAGAAGAACCUAUAAUGGAAAAGGAGGCAGUGACUGAUUCACAGGAAAUCAUGCCAUGGAAGCAACCUGAGUCAUAUCAACCAUUUAUGUUUAUUCCAUGCUGUUUGAAGUUUGAGUGCAGCAAAAAAGAAGAGGUUGUAGCACCUGACAUCCAAGCAUAUCAGCAGGAACAAAAUCAUAUGUAUCCAUCUGGCUGUACAUUGAGAAAGUUGGAAGUCAGCAGAAACAGGAUUGAAGAUUGCAGCAGACAUCAGAGUUUGCUGAAUUAGCUGAGGAACAAUGUACCACG